GGCUUCCAUCUGGAGAAUCUGGAGACAGGUGCUGCAUGGCUGUCGUCAGCUCGUGUCGUGAGAUGUUGGGUUAAGUCCCGCAACGAGCGCAACCCUUGCCUUUAGUUGCCAGCAGUUCGGCUGGGCACUCUAAAGGGACUGCCGGUGUUAAACCGGAGGAAGGUGGGGAUGACGUCAAGUCCUCAUGGCCUUUAUGACCAGGGCUACACACGUACUACAAUGGCCGAUACAAAGGGCAGCGACACUGCGAGGUGAAGCCAAUCCCGUAAAAUCGGUCUCAGUCCGGAUUGGAGUCUGCAACUCGACUCCAUGAAGUUGGAAUCGCUAGUAAUCGUGGAUCAGCAUGCCACGGUGAAUACGUUCCCGGGCCUU
rnacentral:rRNA from 1 species